AUGGUGAACUCAGCGGAGUCGCCGCCUGCGGCUUUCCCAUCGGAUCUCAGCAAGGAAGGCGGCAUUACGGAGGCGGGGGGUGGGGCCGCGGAGGUAGUUACAACGUCGUCGAGCGCCCACCGCGGGAGGUUGAUGUCGCUACCAUCAAUUCUCAAGCCCUGGGGGAGCCAACGGCUGCUGCGGUGUGUUCAUGUCAACCGCCAUGGCGAAGCCAUCGCCCCGGACACGGGAUCCUCCUCUUAUCAGCAAUAUGAGGUCAGCGAGAGGCUACAGCUUGGCCUCGGCAAGGUGGCAGAGGCGUCGGGGGCCGACAACCCCGCAGUCGACAAGUACCCUGAGGUCACGAAGGCGAUUUCUCCAGAGCCGUUGAAGGCACGCCGUGGCCGCCCGCGUCGCCUUGCUAUGCCAUCCCUCGCGGCCACGACUGUCGCGAGUGCAUCGCCGCAGGCAUUCGAGCGCGAGCGGCGGUCGAUCCGCGCAGAUGCACUCAAGAGGCCACGAUUCUCCGUAUCACUCUCCGCAGAGGAGAUUGAGGAAGACAUCUACGGCCUCACCAGCGCACUCCCGCGUAGCCGCCCUCGCGGUCGGCCCUGCAAAGUGCAAAAGCAGAUCGAUAUCAACAUGGAGUCCUACCGGGUGUCGGACAAUCGCUGA
rnacentral:rRNA from 1 species